rnacentral:rRNA from 1 species
UACGUAGGGGGCAAGCGUUGUCCGGAUUUAUUGGGCGUAAAGAGCGUGUAGGCGGCCAGGUAGGUCUGCUGUGAAAACUCGAGGCUUAACCUCGAGAUGUCGGCGGAAACCAUCUGGCUAGAGUCCGGAAGAGGAGAAUGGAAUUCCCGGUGUAGCGGUGAAAUGCGCAGAUAUCAGGAAGAACACCCGUGGCGAAGGCGGUUCUCUGGGACGGUACUGACGCUGAGACGCGAAAGCGUGGGGAGCGAACAGG